rnacentral:rRNA from 1 species
AUUGAACGCUGGCGGCAGGCCUAACACAUGCAAGUCGAACGAGUGGCGGACGGGUGAGUAAUGUCUGGGAAACUGCCUGACGGAGGGGGAUAACUACUGGAAACGGUAGCUAAUACCGCAUACCAUCGGAUGUGCCCAGCUGGGAUUAGCUAGUAGGUGGGGUAACGGCUCACCUAGGCGACGAUCCCUAGCUGGUCUGAGAGGAUGACCAGCCACACUGGAACUGAGACACGGUCCAGACUCCUACGGGAGGCAGCAGUGGGGAAUAUUGCGCAAUGGACGCAAGCCUGAUCGAGCCAUGCCGCGUGAAUGAAGAAGGCCUUCGGGUUGUAAAGUACUGUCAGCGGGGAGGCGUUACCCGCAGAAGAAGCACCGGCUAACUCCGUGCCAGCAGCCGCGGUAAUAC